rnacentral:rRNA from 1 species
GACAGAGGCCCCAAGCGUUAGGCGGAAUCACUGGGCUUAAAGCGUGUGUAGGCGGACUUGUAAGUACCUUGUGAAAUCCCACGGCUCACCCGUGGAACUGCUGGGUAUACUGCGAGUCUUGAGCCACUUAGGGGCUGUCGGAACAGGCGGUGGAGCGGUGAAAUGCGUAGAUAUCGCCUGGAACGCCAAAGGUGAAAACAGACAGCUGGGAGUGUGCUGACGCUGAGACACGAAAGCCAGGGGAGCGAACGGG